CAAAUUAUUUAAAUCCCAAACUUUCCCACAUCAAAUACCAAAAAUAUAAUCCACUAAAUCAAAACCUCAAAACUUGGCAAAUAAACUUGAUUGCCGGAAGAGCCUACCUAACAAUAUCGAAUAUGCUAAAUCGUUUGUACCACCAAUCUUUUAAGAAAAGGAUCUAAAUUUUUGGAGGUUCCUUAGAUAACAAUAAAGAAUAUACCAAAGCAUAACUACCAGGUCAAAUUUUUUAUUUUCAUAUCUUCAAAAUAUAAAUAACAACCAAUCAUAACAAGAUUAAUGAUUUUAAUAAACUCAUGCCUUAUAUACUUUAACAGCAUUGAUUUGGAAUAUCUUAAACCCACGGCCUUUUUUCCUAUAUAUACAGCAUAUUAACCUCGGAUCAAUCACGCAGAUUUCAAAACAAUUCUCAUAUAAUGUUUUCUAAAAAAAAACUGGUCUGCAAACCAAAGUCAUACACAUCUGCAAACCAUUCAAAGCCGGAUUUGGUGAGACUUUAGAGAUCAUAUUGGCAGACAAAAAGGUAAUACUGCUAUAAUUUAAAAUUUUCAAGAGUAAUAAUUAGUUUUACUUAAAUCGUGAAUCUUAUAUAUUAAAACAGAAGUCACAACCUUGAUUCAUGUGUGAUUUUUUUUAAAAUGGACCUAAUGAACCUAUUCAUAGAAAUUCAUACUAUAUUUUAAUUCAGACUAAUAAUAAAUAUAAUUUUUAAAAUAUUUUAAUCAUAGUAUCUUUUGAUAUCUUUUCAUUUUAAAUAUAAAUAUAUUUAUUUUAAAAUUCUAACAAAUCUGUUUAAAAAGAUUUUUACAAGAUCUUCAUUUUUGAAAUUAUAUUUAAAUAUUUUCACUAAUUUUGAAAUUAGUUUAAAAUAUUAUUAUACAUUAAUAUAUUCAGUUAUAUAAAAUAAAAAAUAAAAAAUCUAUAAUAUUUUAGUUAUUAUAUAAUCAUAAUCAAUCAUAUGAAAUUAAAACUAUUAUAUUGAGCUAAAUAUAAUAAAAUUGUAUUAAAUUUAUAUAUUUAUAUAUUUUAUUUUCGUAAUUAUAAAAUAUUUAUGUUCAAAAAUAAAAUCUAAUAUGUUGGUAAGAUGGGUUAACAUUAUCAAACUAUAUAAUACAUGUAUAAAAAUUAACAUGUAUUUCUUUAAAGUUAAUAAUAUAAAAUCUCUGUAACUACUUUAAUCAUAAUAUAUUUUCAUUUUAAAUAUAAUAUAUAUUUAUAUAUUAUAUUUUAAAAAUUCUAAUAAAUCUGUGUAAUAUUUAAAUAAUAACUUAAUAUAUUUUAAGUUAUCGUUUAGAAAUGAAAAUAAAUAAAUUAUAUCAUAUUUUAUCUACUUUUAUAGUCAUGAUCAUGUUAAAAUAUAAUUAUUAUACUAAAAUAAAUAUGAUAAAACUAUAUUCAAUUGAUAAAUUUAUAAAUUUUAUUUUCAUAAAUAUAAACUAUUUAUUUAAAAUAUAAUAUGAUGAUAGAACGACUUAAAAUUAACAAACUAUAUAAUACAUGUCUAAAAAUUAACAUAUCUUACACUUUUAUAUAUACAAUAAUAAAUUAUCUAAAAUGAAUAAGCAUAAAAAUAUUGGUAAAAAGAAAUCCAGUUUUGAAAUACGGGUAAGAAUUUAGCAUAAAUUAAAUACAAAAUAUUUUUUAAAUAUAUUUUCUCAUGAAUCCCCUAUAUUAAUUUGCUUAAUAACUAAAUGCAAAUACAAUAAGAUAAAAUAUAUAAUAAGAAGUGGCAAAUACAUAAGGUUUAAAAAAUUAAUUAAUUAUAACAUGUAAAUUAUAAAAUUAUUGUAUUUGAAAUAGUUAUAUAAAUAUUUAAGUAUAUGAUUAACAUUAAAAAUAUAUACCACUUAUGUUCUAAAACAAUAAUUUAUGUAUAGAAAAGUGAAAACAAACACCCGUGCGGUUGCACGGGUUAAAAUCUAGUAAUGUGUUAUUCUUUAAAAUUUCUUUGAGGGUAUCAAAGUUCAUACUACUUGUAGAAAUAACAAUUUGAAAUCUUUGGGGGAUCAAUGCAUUGUUGGCGAAUGCAAGACUAUUGAAAACUUCCAAGUUAGUGAACUUGGAAAAGAGUUACGACCAAAAUGAGAGCUAAUAAUUACCUGAUAAUAAGAGGAACCUUUGUUUGGUAUAGAUUGUAACCAUUUUCAUUUACUCCUUAAACAAACCAGAGAAUAAAGGUUCAUGGAACAAUAAUCAAACUAUAUUGAAAAUAAAUGAGAGCUAUGUACUGAAUAACAAAUGAUAUCUCAAUUAGAAAUUUUAAGAUUGGAGAUCCUUUUACCG
rnacentral:lncRNA from 1 species